rnacentral:tRNA from 1 species
GCCAGUGGGUCGGGUCUUGCUUCCCAAGCAAGAUACGCGGGUUCGAUUCCCGUCACCGGCU